GGGUUCUACCGUUGGUCGGGCUAUUGUCUGUACUGGCGUGUAGAAUUUCUACCUUCUGGGGAACUAUCAUGUUAUUAAUUUAGCGUGGUAGGAAACCAGGACCUUUACCUUGAAAAAAUUAGAGUGUUCAAAGCAGGCUUAUGUCUGAAUACAUUAGCAUGGAAUAAUGAAAUAGGACGUUUGAUUCUAUUUUGUUGGUUUCUAGGAUCGACGUA
rnacentral:rRNA from 1 species